AGUACAUGUGCAGUUGUUCUUUUUCCAAAUAUUGUUGAACUGCAAAUAGUUGAUUCUACAGAUAAUGGGAGGGUGUCCAUCUUUAGGAAGGCUAUGAGCAGGCAGCCUCUUAGGAAUUCAGCCAAGAGGAAAAGCACUCUGAUUAUGAAUGGAACAGUAGGAAACUGAUUCCUGCAAAUGAUAGCAGCAAGACAAGAACCACGGAUCAGAGAAAUGACAGGAAGGAGGAAUGCUCCCUGCCAGUAGCCUCAUGCCAGGGAACAACUACCACAAUGUGGAGACCCAGGCACGGAGGGAAAGUCAUGGCCCUGGUGACACAACUAGAAAGGAUGCAGCAGGCUGGCAGCCUGUUCUGGGACUAAACCCACAGCUUGAAUUCUGAGCUGCUGCAUUUUGCCACCUUGCAGUGUGACAUGCUUGUCACAAGCUUGGAGUGCAGAGUUCGUGUUCUCAGCACAGCUAUUCACGUCUGAAGAUAAAGAACUUUUAUGCUGAGCCUGAGGCAGGUGUAUACACAACCAUUUAUCAAAGUCCACCUGGGUCCAGACAUCUGGUAAGCCCUGGAAGUACACAGCAGGAUCCUGCCAGUCUCUGCCCUCAUGGAGACUGGCCAGUCGGUAAUACCAGAU